rnacentral:rRNA from 1 species
GACGAACGCUGGCGGCGUGCUUAACACAUGCCAGUCGAACGGAAAGGCCCUGCGCUUGUGGGGUGCUCGAGUGGCGAACGGGUGAGUAACACGUGAGUAACCUGCCCUUGACUUUGGGAUAACUCCAGGAAACUGGGGCGAAUACCGGAUAGGAGCUCCUGCUGCAUGGUGGGGGUUGGAAAGUUUCGGCGGUUGGGGAUGGACUCGCGGCUUAUCAGCUGGUUGGUGGGGUAGUGGCUUACCAAGGCUUUGACGGGUAGCCGGCCUGAGAGGGUGACCGGCCACAUUGGGACUGAGAUACGGACCAGAAUCCUACGGGAGGCAGCAGUGGGGAAUAUUGCACAAUAGGCGGAAGCCUGAUGCAGCAACGCCGCGUGCGGGAUGACGGCCUUCGGGUUGUAAACCGCUUUCGCCUGUGACGAAGCGUGAGUGACGGUAAUGGGUAAAGAAGCACCGGCUAACUACGUG